UAGCUCUGGAUUCUCUUGAGUUGUGCAUAAGUCUGUUGCCUUUUACUAAAGAGUUCUGUGGAGAGGAACAUCAAUGGGUUUGAUGUAUUUUUAUGAGCUUUGCUCUGGCAAAGCU